rnacentral:rRNA from 1 species
AAGAAGAGUUGCGAACCGUAUUGGGAGUAUCGGGGGCGCACGGCGGCGCCAUGGGUGGGGUAGCUGCCUAGGUCUUGGGCGGUGCCGUGGUUGGUGAUGGCGUUGAAGUUUCAUCCCGUGGUGCUCGGUGGCAGUGGUGGCCUCGGCGGUGUGGUGAACUCUCUGGGUUCCUCAAGGCAGUGCUGCGGGGCUGCACCGCUCUGCGCCAGCAAUAGCGGUCUACGACGGCGUCACG